rnacentral:lncRNA from 1 species
GGGCAGCUCAUGGCGCCUGCGCCGUGGCAGCGGCGCUGGGCCGCGGGGCUCCUCCCCUGGCGGCGGGCUGCGGCUUGGCCAGGGCGCUGGGGAGCGUGCGGGGCACUUCGCGGCGGCUCCGGCCCGGCGCUGCGGCUCGCCUCGACCCUGCCAGUGCGAGGGAGCCUCGCGGAGGCGGCGGUCUCGGCGCGGACAAGCCUUGGAGGGAUAAGCAGCCGGGCUGGCUUAUACCUGAACGCGUGUGUCGAAGAGCUGUGCCCUCCUUCCCCUUACAGGAGGACAGAUGCUUGUGAAUGCCCCAUGGCAGCAGCAACCUCUAUUCAUUCAUUUAUUUCCUAUUGUAACUUGGAAGCAUUCUUCAGGUCAGUUCAUCCUCUGGGACCGCUCUCUGCCUUCUGGUUAAGGAAUCCGUGCACACAUACAGGAUGA